GAUGAACGCUAGCGGGAGGCUUAACACAUGCAAGUCGAGGGGUAAAUGGUAGCAAUACUAUGAGACCGGCGGACGGGUGCGUAACGCGUAUGCAACAUACCUUGUGCAGGGGGAUAGCCCGUGGAAACGCGGAUUAAUAUUCCAUAGUCCAGCUAUAUCGCAUGGUAUAGUUGGUAAAGAUUUAUCGGCACAAGUUUGGCAUGCGUCUGAUUAGCUUGUUGGUAGGGUAACGGCCUACCAAGGCUACGAUCAGUAGGGGUUCUGAGAGGAUUAACCCCCACACUGGUACUGAGACACGGACCAGACUCCUACGGGAGGCAGCAGUGAGGAAUAUUGGUCAAUGGGCGGAAGCCUGAACCAGCCAUCCCGCGUGAAGGAAGACAGCCUUACGGGUUGUAAACUUCUUUUCUGUCAGAAGAAUAAGCUUGUCGAGACGAGUGAUGCCGGUAUGACAGGAAUAAGCAUCGGCUAACUCCGUGCCAGCAGCCGCGGUAA
rnacentral:rRNA from 1 species